rnacentral:lncRNA from 1 species
AUUUUUGGGCGCGGCUUUGCACGCGGCUUAUUGUUGGUGCCCCGAGGCCCCUCGGAAAGUCUCGUCCCAUUCCGAGUCCGGCGGACGAACUUCGCCCGCGCCCCCCACCAAGGCUAUAGCCCACCCGUUUUUUGGCCAUUUUUCCGCUGGGGGGUUUUGGCACCACGACCUUUGGGCGGUUAUUUUUGGGCGCGGCUUUGCCCGCGGCUUAUUUUUGGCACCCCGAGGCCCCUCGCAAAGUCUUGCCCCAUUCCGAGUCCAGCGGACGAACUUCGCCCGCGCCCCCCACCAAGGCUAUAGCCCACCCGUUUUUUGGCCAUUUUUCCGCUGGGGGGUUUUGGCACCACGACCUUCGGGCGCUUAUUUCUGGACGCGGCUGUGCCCGCGACUUCCCGCGGGCACCCCGAGGCCCCUCGCAAAGUCUCGCCCCAUUCCGAGUCCGGCGGACGAACUUCGCCCGCGCCCCCCACCAAGGGUAUAGCCCACCCGUUUUUUGGCCAUUUUUCCGCUGGGGGGUUUUGGCACCACGACCUUCGGGCGCUUAUUUUUGGACGCGGCUAUGCCCGCGACUUCCCGCGGGCACCCUGAGGCCCCUCGCAAAGUCUCGCCCCAUUCCGAGUCCGGCGGACGAACUUCGCCCGCGCCCCCCACCAAGGCUAUAGCCCACCCGUUUUUUGGCCAUUUUUCCGCUGGGGGGUUUUGGCACCACGACCUUCGGGCGCUUAUAUUUGGACGCGGCUUUGCCCGCGGCUUAUUUUUGGCACCCCGAGGCCCCUCGCAAAGUCUCGCCCCAUUCCGAGUCCGGCGGACGAACUUCGCCCGCGCCCCCCACCAAGGCUAUAGCCCACCCGUU